UUGGCAGCGCCGACCCCAAGGCCGCCUUCAUUCCCACACUUGGCCACAGAUACACCGCUCCGAGAGAACCGGAGUCUACCGGAGAGUUCUGCAGAAGACAAUAUUAGAAAACCUCUGGUCCAAGGAUGACAAUCCAUUUUGCAGGCUACUUCACAGGGGAAAACAGUCCCUCCUCUCUGGCGCUGAGUUUCUCUACCCUCAUCCCCACGUUUUAAUAAAAGUCUCUGUUCUGAAAGA